rnacentral:rRNA from 1 species
GACGUAGGGGGCGAGCGUUGUCCGGAUUCAUUGGGCGUAAAGCGCGCGCAGGCGGCCCGGUAAGUCGGAUGUGAAAUCCCACGGCUCAACCGUGGAACUGCAUUCGAUACUGUCGGGCUAGAGGCAGGUAGGGGAGAUCGGAAUUCCUGGUGUAGCGGUGAAAUGCGCAGAUAUCAGGAGGAACACCGGUGGCGAAGGCGGCAUUCUGGACCAAUAUUGACGCUGAGGAGCGAAAGCCAGGGGAGCAAACGGG